CAAGCCGGAGGGAAUUCAGGAGGAAAAGGCGCGCUCUAAAGUUUUCAGGUACUCAAGAAAAAGGAUGGUGAUCAAGCAAACGAGUCGAACCGAACACACAUUUUUAGAACGCUUCCGCAUCCGAUCUUUUGUUCUAGAAACUAUGUAAACUAAUGGUAGUUACCGUCUUGAAUAUGGUUUUGUAA